rnacentral:rRNA from 1 species
GACGAACGCUGGCGGCGUGCUUAACACAUGCAAGUCGAACGGAAAGGCCUGCUUUUGUGGGGUGCUCGAGUGGCGAACGGGUGAGUAACACGUGAGUAACCUGCCCUUGACUUUGGGAUAACUUCAGGAAACUGGGGCUAAUACCGGAUAGGAGCUCCUGCUGCAUGGUGGGGGUUGGAAAGUUUCGGCGGUUGGGGAUGGACUCGCGGCUUAUCAGCUUGUUGGUGGGGUAGUGGCUUACCAAGGCUUUGACGGGUAGCCGGCCUGAGAGGGUGACCGGCCACAGUGGGACUGAGAUACGGGCCAGACGCAUACGGGAGGCAGCAGUGGGGAAUAGUGCACAAUGGGCGGAAGCCUGAUGCAGCAACGCCGCGUGCGGGAUGACGGCCUCGGGUUGUAAACCGCUUUCGCCUGUGACGAAGCGUGAGUGACGGUAAUGGGUAAAGAAGCACCGGCUAACUACGUG